GGAUGUGAGGUAAAUCUGACUGUGACAUCUGUCACUCCAUUGAUCGCUAGGGUUGAAUGGGCUGAUCUGGCUGGCUAGGCAGGGGUCCCCUUUCCCCCUCACCACUCCAUGUGCAUCCUUCUCAAACCUGCAUGCUAGGUCAAAGAGAACCUUCCUGGAAAAGAGGAGGACCAGUCUUUGGUCAAGGGUGCAUGAGUAGCUGCACUCCCUUGGUAGAAUCUCCAAACAAGUCCACUUCUACUUUCAGGUCCUCAUUAUAUUUAUGGUUCUAUGUAUCUAUAAAGUCCAGGAAUUAGAAAUGAGACGUGUCUCUGAGACUU
rfam:Rattus norvegicus chromosome 8, whole genome shotgun sequence.